AACUUUCGACAACGGAUCACUUGGUUCCGGCAUCGAUGAAGAACGCAGCGAAAUGCGAUAACUAAUGUGAAUUGCAGAAUUCAGUGAAUCAUCGAGUCUUUGAACGCACAUUGCGCCCCCUGGUAUUCCGGGGGGCAUGCCUGUCCGAGCGUCAUUGCUGCCCUCAAGCACGGCUUGUGUGUUGGGCUCCGUCCCCCCGGGGACGGGCCCGAAAGGCAGCGGCGGCACCGAGUCCGGUCCUCGAGCGUAUGGGGCUUUGUCACCCGCUCUGUAGGCCCGGCCGGCGCCAGCCGACAACCCAUCAUCCUUUUCAGGUUGACCUCGGAUCAGGUAGGGAUACCCGCUGAACUUAAGCAUAUCAAUAAGCGGAGGCU
rnacentral:misc_RNA from 1 species